AAUGAAGUUGCUAGAACAUAUGGUGAUUCUAUGUUUAACUAUUGGAGGUACUGCCAAACUGCUUCCCACAGCCGCCACACCAUUUUACAUUCCCAAUAGCAGU
rnacentral:pre_miRNA from 1 species